rfam:Loxodonta africana unplaced genomic scaffold scaffold_135, whole genome shotgun sequence.
GGGGGUAUAGCUCAGUGGUAGAGCGCGUGCUUCGCAUGCACGAAGUCCUGGGUUCGAUCCCCAGUGCCUCCA